GUGAGUGUAGCUCAGCGGAAGAGCACUGGACUGUGGCUCCAGGAGUCGGGGGUUCAAAUCCCCUCACUCACC
rnacentral:tRNA from 1 species